rnacentral:misc_RNA from 1 species
CUGAGGUUUCGGGGCUCCGCGAGGAGACUCUGGUUACCCGACCUUUUGUCAUGUGGUUGUUGGAGCUGGGCUUGCCGGACGGUCUGUGCGCGUGCGCAUCCCGAUGUGGAUGUGUGCGUGGGACGGGCCGGACGUCAGGUCGUCCGACGAUUGAUAACUUCGGCGGAGGUGGCAGGCUUUGUUCAUGACGAGCGAAGACCUGCCCGCCGCCGGCCGUAUGUCGAAACUCUUGUGAGAAGGAUGAAGUCUGACGAAAACGAGAAAUCUAAAAAAAGCAA